AAGGCGUUUUUCGGGAGUCAAGAUGGCCGAAUACGAACAGCUCAGGUCUACAGCUCCCAGCGUGAGCGACGCAGAAGACGGGUGAUUUCUGCAUUUCCAUCUGAGCUGCUGCAGAUGCUGUUUGAAGAAGCUCUGCCCCUCAGCUGCUCUGAUCCUGUGCUUAGCACUCUUAGCCUGGUGCAGGGCCUGCUGUCUGCUCACUCUCACCAUGUCCUGCCCAGGGCCUGACCCUCCUGAGGGGCCCGGGACCCAGCGUGUGUGGCAAGGGGCUCUACGGAUCCUACAGCUCCCAGGAGCCCCGAAGAAGAAAGAAACAAAUAAAAAAAGAAACAAAAAGAAUAAAGAAGAAUACGAAAAAGAAAACAAAGGAAGGAAGGAAGGAAAAAAGAAAAAGAAAGAAUUUUCUAGGUCUUUGCAGAUUGGCUCUGUGUGGAGUCACUCCUAAGCUUAGCCAGGCAAUUUACAGCUCUGUUUUAGCCUUCACUUCCUGCUUGUGCUGAGCCCAAAGACCAGACAGAGAUGAAAGCUUAUUGUCUUAUUGGGCCUUUUCUGCACAUGAGUCCUACCCUGGGUGUGCUUUCUGCUCUCUCUAGUACACAUGGGAACUUUUUGAAGCCCUUAUUCUCCCAAAAAUAUCACUUCCAAACUUUUCCCAGUCUUUCAGGGUAUCAGUUGUUUGCCUCAACUGUUAUUUUUGCUUCAGGCAGCAGUUCCUUGUUCUUUUGUUCUUUAGCAGUUUUCAGGGAACAUCCUCUGUGUAGCUGCUCUGCCUUGAGAGAGUUCUGAGAUUCGUGAAGCAAAGAGAAUUCCCUUUCAUCAGUUCUUCAAGGGAAAUUCCAGACAGUCAAAAAAGAUAAACACAAUUCAUUGGGAUCAAGAUCUUCUCUGCUCCCUCCCUAACCAGGAACCCCCACCAGAAAUUUGGGCUGCUGUCUUCAAGAUUAGCCCUGUGCUGGGGAGGGGUUGGAGCUAGGGUAAGUUAAAACACCACAGAGAUCUCUUACCAUAUUUAAGUUGCCUUUCUCCUGGUUAAGCAUUGGUUGCUGUAAACCUCUAUCUUUCAGAGUUAAAAUAAGGUUGUUUCUGGCUGUUUUUGCUAGGUGUUUCUGGGGAUGAACGGACUCUUGGAGUUCCCUACUCUGCCAUUUUCACUGAUGUCAUCUUCUUUUGCCCAUUUUAAAAUUGGGUUGUCUUUUUAUUAUUGAGUUGUAAGAGCUCUUUAUAUAUUCUGGGUACAAGUCACUUGUCA
rnacentral:lncRNA from 1 species